rnacentral:rRNA from 1 species
UACGGAGGAUCCAAGCGUUAUCCGGAAUCAUUGGGUUUAAAGGGUCCGUAGGCGGUUUAAUAAGUCAGUGGUGAAAGCCUAUCGCUUAACGAUAGAACGGCCAUUGAUACUGUUAGACUUGAAUUAGUGGGAAGUAACUAGAAUAUGUAGUGUAGCGGUGAAAUGCAUAGAUAUGACACAGAACGCCGAUUGCGAAGGCAACUUACUAAGCCAUUACUGACGCUGAGGCACGAAAGCGUGGGUAGCGAACAGGAUUAGAAACCCGAGUAGU